rnacentral:rRNA from 1 species
AGGACGAACGCUGGCGGCGUGCUUAACACAUGCAAGUCGAGCGGAAAGGCCCUUCGGGGUACUCGAGCGGCGAACGGGUGAGUAACACGUGGGCAACCUGCCCCUAGCUCUGGGAUAACUCCGGGAAACCGGGGCUAAUACCGGAUACGAUCUUCCAUGGCAUCUCGGAAGAUGGAAAGUUUUUCGGCUAGGGAUGGGCCCGCGGCCUAUCAGCUUGUUGGUGAGGUAACGCCACAAGGCGACGACGGUAG